CCCGGGUCUUGUACACGCCGCCCGUCACACCAUGGGAGCGGGAUGUACCAGAAGUAGGUAGGCUAACCGCAAGGGGGCCGCUUACCACGGUGCGUUUCGUGACUGGGGUG
rnacentral:rRNA from 1 species